CAGCCCUGUAGGAGACACCUCCAGAGAAAGUAACAGCUCUCAAUUGAUUAGCUGAGGAGACCGAUUUUGUAAAUCACUACUUUUCUAACAACACUGGCACAGAUGGCCAAGCAUUCUCCCUUUUCUCAGAGCUGGUUUUCCAUCCCGGAAAGAGGACUUACAUAUACAAAGUUACUCUAAUCAGUUGUGUGAGUUUUCUCUUCUCUAACUGAUAGGUUCUGCACAGGGAUUAUAUUAAUGCUUAUAGUGUCCAAAAGGCUAUAGCUCACCUCUGAACUCUUGAGAGUUCUCAAGGGAUCCUGCUGAGCUCUCAGACCUUUUUAAUGCUAUUCAAUAUAAUAGAAAAGUUGCAAAAUUGGAAGGAAUCUGAGAAAGGCUAAUUUACAAUGGAAAGGACAGCAUUAAAAGGCACAAACUCCAAUAUCUACAGGGACCAGGUCUAUAUUAUAAAUAGUAAAAUUGGCCACAAAUAAACAAUAGGGAAUGUAAACACUGGCAAACUAGAGAGAUGUCGUAUUUGAAGAAGGCAGUCACUAUUCACUGCUAGCCAGUUGUAAAAUGAAGGCAACAUUUUGCCAAACCUUCAAACUUGUUAAGAGAUUUCUCGACACAAAUCAGAUACAGAUUUUUAUGUUUCAUUUGCCAACUUGUAAAUGUUGACAACUAAUUAAAUUUGCUUGUAAAACACCAUAUUAAAUUAAAUGCACACAUAGGCCA
rnacentral:lncRNA from 1 species